GCCAGCUCCGCUCCGGGAGAAAGCUGCCCCUCCAGCCUCUGCCCUGACGCCAGACAAUUCAGUUCCUUCAUGUGUCCCUGGCACCUUUCAAGCUGCUGCCCCAGUGCUGGAGUCCAGCGCGAGUGAGGGUCAGCGAAUAAGUUCAUGCGUGGGCCCGUUAAGAGGAACACCUGGGACUGCAGCCGCCCUCCUUCUCUCUCAGCCGCACUCAGCCUUUACCUGCUCUGCCAUCUUGACCGGAUCCUUACUGCUACUAUCUAAAGAUUGCGAGUGCUCACAAAGGACUGUGAUGAUUGACAGCUGGCUGAACACGCUGGAAAGGAGAAGACAUAGAGGCGGUGAAAUUGGCGCUGUUCCAGGAGGGAGACACAGCAGUGAAUAAGUCAGCAGGAACCCCUGCCCUGUGGAGUUCGCAUUCUAGUGCAGGGGAUU